GGCGAACGCUGGCGGCGUGCUUAACACAUGCAAGUCGAACGGAGAGGCCCUGCUUUUGUGGGGUGCUCGAGUGGCGAACGGGUGAGUAACACGUGAGUAACCUGCCCUUGACUUUGGGAUAACUUCAGGAAACUGGGGCUAAUACCGGAUAGGAGCCCCCGCUGCAUGGUGGGGGUUGGAAAGUUUCGGCGGUUGGGGAUGGACUCGCGGCUUAUCAGCUUGUUGGUGGGGUAGUGGCUUACCAAGGCUUUGACGGGUAGCCGGCCUGAGAGGGUGACCGGCCACAUUGGGACUGAGAUACGGCCCAGACUCCUACGGGAGGCAGCAGUGGGGAAUAUUGCACAAUGGGCGGAAGCCUGAUGCAGCAACGCCGCGUGCGGGAUGACGGCCUUCGGGUUGUAAACCGCUUUCGCCUGUGACGAAGCGUGAGUGACGGUAAUGGGUAAAGAAGCACCGGCUAACUACGUG
rnacentral:rRNA from 1 species